rnacentral:lncRNA from 1 species
CCAGCAAAUUCAAAUCAAUAUCAUUCAAUAUGCAAAGUAUUUAUAGUGAAACAACAACAUUACAAGUAAGACAGUAUAAUAACAACGUCACUGAAAACAAAAAUAUUCGCUUUUACUACACUAAGAAACACAGUUAAGAACAGUUGAUUUGCAAGCUGAUGACAAUACUUGGUUACAACACUUGACCAUAGAGGUCUCCACUUGACUAUAAAAAUGCAAGCUCAAAAUGCUAACCUCACAAAUCUCCUCUCUACACGCUUCUCGUUUCGCGGCUUAACUCGUAAUUACAUUCUUACCAUGGAGACGACUUCAAUGGAAAGAUAAAUAAAAACAAAGUCUCACGCAUCAAUGACGAGAAUCGAGCGAAGGAGAAGGAGGAGGAAGCAGAGUCGAUCUCUUUGAUUCCAUUAUUGCUCCACCUAAUUGGAUUCCACCGCGCGAUCGCGGGCUGCAACGUCUAUAAACCCGCGGUCGACGAAACCAAUUUGGGCAUUCCUACGGAUACAUAGCCGGUGGAUCCGUCGUCGAUCUAUAGAUCACUCGCCGCUACCUGUGCCAGUGAUGGCUUGCCCAAAUUUUCGACCGUGCGAUCUUCGAUCGUGCAAAAGCCGCCUCCGGUAUUCGAGAUACGACCGCGGCUUCGGGGGAAACUCAAUUUUCGUGGGAUGAUGCACAGAUCGAGAUUCGUAAACCAAUAUCGAUAAUCGUAUCACUAGUACUAGUCACAUCAAGAGUAAAUAGAAAGAAGAAAACAAUUUGUAGUGACACUGUUCAAAGAAGAAAAACACUAGAUAAGGAAAGUAGCAGCAAUGGUGGUGCUUCAUAGAACCCGUAAAAGUGAUUUGUUCUGCUAUUAACGAGACGCGGAUAGCAGGAACGUUAAUGGAAAAUUAUCGACAGUUACGAGACUCGAUACACCGUUACGACUGGUGAACGUCGUAAAUAACAGUCGGUUAUAUGCUUGAAAAUACCUUAAAGGCGUGCUAGUUUCUUGCACCGUAGCGACUUAACCUAUAACCGGAAUGCGUCGAACGAUUUGGAACUCGAAACAUCUUUAAAACGCAAAUUUUUUAAACAUAGAUAGAAGAAACUUUGAAAAUAUUUCGCAUCUUUUUUGAUGGAAAAGUAAAGUAUAGUGAAAAAUUGUAAAUUUUAUUCUACUUGAAGAAAUAUUUCAUGCUUUACUUGAAAGGAAGAUAAAGGGAUUAGAGACGCUUUAACCUCGUCAAACUCGAAGAAUGAAAUAUGCCAUUUUCGAAAAAAAGGAAAAAUAUUAUCGAGUCUCGACAAUCUCUUUUCUAUAAAAAAAAAAAAAUCAAAAGAAAAUGGAAAUAUCAAAGAUUACGAGUUAGUUAGAAAAACGUAAGGAGGUUUCAUCUUUUCUCGAAAAUAAAGAAUAGAAAAGAACAGAAAAUCAAAAGCUGUCCAAUUGGUAAAUAAGAAAGAAAGGAAAAAAUGAAAUAAGGGAUGAAGAGAGAAAGAGAAGGAAUAGUGGCAACGUCCCUGAAUGAGAAAGCGGUUCGAUGCACUUGCACGAUUCUUUCCUCUGCACCUCUACUCCGCCUUCCGUGCAGACGUGUUGCAACACGAGGAGAACCAGUGUACAAGAUAAUGCCAGGACGAUGUACACUAGAUGGAGAAGAAACGGAAGAUUGAACCGAUUGGAAAGCCCUCCCAAGUGCCAGGUUUUUUUAUAAUUAUUCUAUUAUUGAUUAGAUUGAUAUCGUAAAUGACAAUGUUCAAGAAUUCUAAAUAAAUAAAAUUUUCAUCUUUAUUGGCAGUAAUUUUGAAAAAGAAUUUUCUUUACCUUUACGUAUAGAAAGUUUCUCGAAUAUUAUUGUAUAAAAGAAAGUUGAGGAAUUUUUUUCCAAUUAUGCAAAACGAUAAAGAAACUUUGUGAAGAGGAAAAAGCACGUCGAUUAGACGAUUAUCAGCGAUUAUAAAGCGAUUUGAUCGAGCGGAUCAAGAAGAUUCGAAAUCGCUACGAGUCACUCCACUUAAAGCGAUCAAAAUGGUUGAUCGCGACGUCGCUAUCCGCAUUAUUAUCAAUAAGUUCGUCUCGAGAAGCAAUUCGAAUGAAGCUACGCCGACGUUUAUGUCGUGGACCCUCGUCAAUCAUUAUUUACCGACGGGCAACAGUGGUCGCUUGGUUGUCUUCGAUUCCUCUACGCCCUUGCCGGGCAAUCGUUUUAUUUUAAAACAAUAAUCUACUAUCUUCUACAUAGAAUAAUCCCUACUGAUAUUAACUACACUAUAUAUAAUAAUUGAUCUUCCUCUUAAAAUACUUAUAUAAUAAAAUGUAUGUACAUAUCACAUACAUAUAAAUUUAUGUAUAUUUCAAUAACUCAGAAAUUUUUAUUCUGAAUAUGAUUAUAUUUCAUUAAUAUAAAAAACUAUUGUAAAAUAUUUUUAUACAUAAAAGAUCAAUUAUUAUAUAAAAAAUAAUAUAUAUAUGUAUUAAUUCUAUCAAUUCUUUGCAAAAAUCAAAUAUAUUUCUUUUUCUCUUCUUUUCAGUGAUUUGACUUGUAAAAUUUAUCGAGCAAUUCGCAAAUGAACUAUCAAUCAUCAGUGAUUCAACUACGAUACAAAAAUUAUUGAAAAUAAUCUAAGAAUCUGGAGAGAAAGUUAAGUUACUUACCCAGCAACCGGUGUCAUUUUCAUCGCAAGCGCCCUGCUAAUGCAAAAUCCGGCGCCACCUGUCGCAAACCAGAAUUUUACCUUUUGCUGCAACAGAAAAACCAAUCUGGUCAUUCGAUAGCGAAAAAAAUUUCUAAUCUUCAAGUAUUCAAGGAUCGUGAUCGAUUGUUCACGAAACGCUCGAUCGAUCCCCGUCACGUACACCGAUCAUCGUCCAUGACUUUCCGGAUUGGGGCCACGAUCGAUUACAUCUUGACGCAUCGAUAAUCGAUAAUACGCUUCUACCUUCUUUGGGACAAAUUACGAUCGAGUUGUACGAUAGAUGAGGAAAGAUUAAGACAAGUGACAGAUGUACAUCGAUCGAGGGAAUCAUUGAUGAUACUCGAGAUAUUCCAUUGGAAAUAGUAUUUUUUAUUAUCCAUAUAUAUAUCAGUGAAUUAUGAAAUUAAGAGGAAUUAUUAUUAAUCAAGUUUCGAAGAGUCCUAAAAGAUCCAGAUAUUCGAUUAUGAUAAUAUUCUUUUUUUUAUGAAAUAUAUCAAUGAAUUAUGAAAUUGAAGAGAAUUUUUUCAUUUUAUUUAAAAAUUAUAUGAUAGAAAAAUUGCAAAUGACUUUUCCUGACAUCAAAUAUUGUAUUGUUUAUUUCACAAUCUAAAAAGACAAUCUUCCACUCCGGGUGGAAUGGAGAAAAUGAGGAUUUUGUGUUCGAGGAUACUUGAAUGAAAAGGUAAAAAGGAAAAAGGAGAAAGAUGUUUCCGAUCUUCCCAACGACCUGGAAAUUCGAUACGAGAAAAUCAUUUACUCGUGAAACGUAUGAUUACAAUUAAAUUCUUCCAAAAUGAUCAUUUAUAUCAAUGAAAUUUUACAUAAGGGAUUGAGAAUCAUAGUGAUAUAAAUAACGUGAUAAUUAUUUUGAGAAAUUCAUAUUUA